rnacentral:rRNA from 1 species
UCAUCGUAGGGUUAGUCGGGGCCUAAGUCGAGUCCGAGAGGGGUAGACGAUGGGAAAUUGGUUAAUAUUCCAAUACCGACUUGUAAUUGUUUGAGUGAAGUGGGGACGCAUAGAGUUAGAGGAGCUAGCAGAUGGAAUAGCUAGUCCAAGGGUGUAGGAUGUCAGGUAGGCAAAUCCGCCUAACGCGAGUCUGAGACCUGAGAGGCUUUAGAAGUCCUUCGGGAUGGAUAGAGAAUCCUUAAUACUGUCGUGCCAAGAAAAGCCACUAAACGAGAUUAUAGGUUGCCCGUACCGCAAACCGACACAGGUAGAUGAGAUGAGUAUUCUAAGGCGCGUGGAAGAACCCUGGUUAAGGAACUCUGCAAACUAGCACCGUAUCUUCGGUAUAAGGUGUGCCCUUAGUACGUAAGGAAACUAGCUUUCUAAGCGGAAUAGGGCGACAGCAAAGAGUCCCUCCCGA